AGUUUGAUCAUGGCUCAGGACGAACGCUGGCGGCGCGCUUAACACAUGCAAGUCGAGCGAUAACCAUGGCUUCGGCUAUGGGGAGAGCGGCGAACGGGUGAGUAACACGUGAGUAAUCUGCCCUCGACACUGGGAUAGCCCGGGGAAACCCGGAUUAAUACCGGAUAGCCUCUCGAGCUCUCGGGCUCGUGAGAAAAGAUGGCUUCGGCUUUCGGUUGAGGAGGAGCUUGCGGCGGAUUAGCUUGUUGGUGAGGUAACGGCCCACCAAGGCGACGAUCCGUAGCUGGUCUGAGAGGACGAUCAGCCACACUGGGACUGAGACACGGCCCAGACUCCUACGGGAGGCAGCAGUGGGGAAUCUUGCGCAAUGGGCGAAAGACUGACGCAGCGACGCCGCGUGAGGGAAGAAGGCCUUCGGGUUGUAAACCUCUUUCAGGAGGGACGAAGCUACUCGGGUUAAUAGCCCAGAGGGUGACGGUACCUCCAGAAGAAGCCCCGGCUAACUACGUGCCAGCAGCCGCGGUAAUACGUAGGGGGCAAGCGUUGUCCGGAUUUAUUGGGCGUAAAGAGCGUGUAGGCGGCCAGAUAAGUCCGCUGUGAAAACUCGAAGCUCAACUUCGAGCUGUCGGUGGAAACUAUCUGGCUAGAGUCCGGAAGAGGAGAGUGGA
rnacentral:rRNA from 1 species